UAGGGAAUCUUCGGCAAUGGACGAAAGUCUGACCGAGCAACGCCGCGUGAGUGAAGAAGGUUUUCGGAUCGUAAAACUCUGUUGUUAGAGAAGAACAAGGACGUUAGUAACUGAACGUCCCCUGACGGUAUCUAACCAGAAAGCCACGGCUAACUACGUGCCAGCAGCCGCGGUAAUACGUAGGUGGCAAGCGUUGUCCGGAUUUAUUGGGCGUAAAGCGAGCGCAGGCGGUUUCUUAAGUCUGAUGUGAAAGCCCCCGGCUCAACCGGGGAGGGUCAUUGGAAACUGGGAGACUUGAGUGCAGAAGGGGAGAGUGGAAUUCCAGGUGUAGCGGUGAAAUGCGUAGAUAUAUGGAGGAACACCAGUGGCGAAGGCGGCUCUCUGGUCUGUAACUGACGCUGAGGCUCGAAAGCGUGGGGAGCAAACAGG
rnacentral:rRNA from 1 species